rnacentral:lncRNA from 1 species
GCUCUUCCACCCACCACUACUACCCUCAGCAUCUACUGCACCUCAGUGACAGUUUUCUUCAUUGUCAUUAAGAUGGUCAGAGUGAUGAAAGAUCUAUGCCAGAGGCGGAGGAGCGACUCACCCCUGAGGAUGUGUUCAGUCCCAACACUGACGAGUCUGCCCCACUCCUGCAGGGAGAGCAGAUUCCUUCAGCCCACAGGGAUAAUGCUGAGGAUGAUCAACCACCUUCCCCUGUGAAUGAAGAAGACAGUGUAGAGGAAAAGACAAACCCCCAACAACAAUAAUACCUCUCUACAAAUCACACGAGAUGCCAACGAUGGAGAAUUGCCUGAGGAGAAUUAUUGCUCAGAUGAAAUUGCUGUGGUGCUUGUUGACAACUCGAGUCCCUCGGCCCACCUGGACAAGAGUGAUACGGUUAAGAUCCUUAUCACAAUGAGCUGUGACCCACAGACGGCAGCUGAAAACUGAAUGAGUCCGUCAAACAGCGCAUCUUAGAGUCAGCUCAGUCCAACCAGGGAGAAUACUGUCCUGUUAAAAUUCCUGUCAUCACCUUCGAUUUGCCUCACGAAGUGGAGGAACCCUCUGCAGGGAGAGGAAAGAUAACUUUACCAGCUGUAACAGUGGCAUGAACAUGGAGGAUGUGGAUUGUGCUGGUUCCUCCUUAAGUCAGAAUCAUAACUCCGCCACAUCCCAGAGCCGAAGCCUUUUUCACGGCCGCCAAAGCAGCUCCCAGUCCAGACACCACGGACUCACCGGGAGUAUCGCAGUCGCCCAGUGCAACCUCAGGGCCAACGGCCCCCUGUCACCAGCUGAUCGAGUCCCAUCCUGGACAGCCAGCACGGCUCCAACAGCCAGCUGUCCUUCAACACCUCCUCCAUUGCCUCCGUCUUUUCCCAGGUGCCUCGUUUAUCCACAACAGGGCCUCUGGCUCUGGCUCCAGCCAGGCGUCUUCCUCCAGCUCCACACUGAGCCUGCUGUUGGCAAGCGGAGCUGCUCCAGCGGCUUGGUCAUCUCAGGCCUCUCUGCAGCUGAGAGGGGGAACACCAGAGAUACGCAGUCCUCAAGUUCUGACAACAUCGUCCUAGGCCCGUCCUGUCACUCGAGUCAUGCAAUGCAGCAGUGGACAUCAGAGGCGUAG